rnacentral:rRNA from 1 species
CACGUAGUUAGCCGGGGCUUCUUACUCAGGUACCGUCAUUUUCUUCCCUGCUGAUAGAAGUUUACAUACCGAAAUACUUCUUCCUUCACGCGGCGUCGCUGCAUCAGGGUUUCCCCCAUUGUGCAAUAUUCCCCACUGCCGCCUCCCGUAGGAGUUUGGGCCGUGUCUCAGUCCCAAUGUGGCCGGUCACCCUCUCAGGCCGGCUACUGAUCGUCGCCUUGGUAGGCCGUUACCCCACCAACCAGCUAAUCAGACGCGGGUCCAUCUCGUACCACCUCAGUUUUUCACACAAUACCAUGCAGUAUCGUGCGCUUAUGCGGUAUUAGCAGUCGUUUCCAACUGUUGUCCCCCUGUACGAGGCAGGUUACCCACGCGUUACUCACCCGUCCGCCACUCAGUCACCAUUUCCCUCCUCCGAAGAUUCGUUCCAUGCUGCUUCGUUCGACUUGCAUGUGUUAAGCACGCCGCCAGCGUUCAUCCUGAGCCAGGAUCAAACUCU